ensembl:snRNA U1 U1 spliceosomal RNA
AGACUUACUUGGCAGGGGAGAUGCCAUCAUCAUAAAGGUGGUUUCCCUAGGGUGAGGCUUAUCAACUGCACUCUGGAUGUGUGAUUUCUCCAAAUGAGGGAAACUCAACUGUAUAAUUUGUGGUAGUGGGGCAGACUGCGUUUGCCCUCUCCCCUG